UUCGAGCGUCAUUACAACCCUCAAGCCUGGCUUGGUAUUGGGCUCCGCUGCUUAUCCAGCGGGCCUUAAAAUCAGUGGCGGUGCGUCGUGGCCCUGAGCGUAGUAAAUAUCCUCGCUAUAGGGACUCGAAGGUUGCUGGCCAUCAAUCACUACUUUCUAAGUUUGACCUCGGAUCAGGUAGGGAUACCCGCUGAACUUAA
rnacentral:misc_RNA from 1 species